AGAAGAUGACAACCGUCAAGAUGAAAACAAAGAAAUAGAUAACAAGUGUAAUGAUACUACUCCACUAAGCCAGUCUAGCUUCAAUGAUAAAGUUUGUAACACAGUCCACCAUUCAACUGGAAGUUUAAAGAUCAUGUUACACAUGUCCAACAUUAAACUUUUGGAUGUCACAGAUUUUACCAAUGACAAUGAUUUACCAGAAAAUUUCUGGAAUGAUGACUUCUGUAAAGUUAAACUGAGUGAAGAUUUGUGGAAAGAUGUGGACAAUUGGAAUUAAAAUGUGUCACAUAA